AUUGAACGCUGGCGGCAGGCCUAAAACAUGCAAGUCGAACGAGUGGCGGACGGGUGAGUAAUGUCUGGGAAACUGCCCGAUGGAGGGGGAUAACUACUGGAAACGGUAGCUAAUACCGCAUACCAUCGGAUGUGCCCAUAUGGGAGUAGCUUGUAGGUGUGGUAACGGCUCACCUAGGCGACGAUCCCUAGCUGGUCUGAGAGGAUGACCAGCCACACGGGAACUGAGAGACGGUCAAGACUCCUACGGGAGGCAGCAGUGGGGAAUAUUGGACAAGGGGCGGAAGCCUGAUGCAGCCAUGCCGCGUGGAUGAAGAAGGCCUUCGGGUUGUAAAGUACUUUCAGCGGGGCGGCGUUACCCGCAGAAGAAGCACCGGCUAACUCCGUGCCAGCAGCCGCGGUAAUAC
rnacentral:rRNA from 1 species